rnacentral:rRNA from 1 species
UGGGGAAUUUUGGACAAUGGGCGAAAGCCUGAUCCAGCAAUGCCGCGUGUGUGAAGAAGGCCUUCGGGUUGUAAAGCACUUUUGUCCGGAAAGAAAUCCUUGGCUCUAAUACAGUCGGGGGAUGACGGUACCGGAAGAAUAAGCACCGGCUAACUACGUGCCAGCAGCCGCGGUAAUACGUAGGGUGCAAGCGUUAAUCGGAAUUACUGGGCGUAAAGCGUGCGCAGGCGGUUUGCUAAGACCGAUGUGAAAUCCCGGGCUCAACCUGGGAACUGCAUUGGUGACUGGCAGGCUAGAGUAUGGCAGAGGGGGGUAGAAUUCCACGUGUAGCAGUGAAAUGCGUAGAGAUGUGGAGGAAUACCGAUGGCGAAGGCAGCCCCCUGGGCCAAUACUGACGCUCAUGCACGAAAGCGUGGGGGAGCAAACAGGAUUAGAUACCCUGGUAGUCCACGCCCUAAACGAUGUCAACUAGUUGUUGGGGGAUUCAUUUGCCUUAGUAACGUAGCUAACGCGUGAAGUUGACCGCCUGGGGGAGUACGGUC